rnacentral:rRNA from 1 species
CGAGCGCACCCUUGUCCUCAGUUACCAGCACGUUAUGGUGGGCACUCUGGGGAGACUGCCGGUGACAAACCGGAGGAAGGUGGGGACGACGUCAAGUCAUCAUGGCCCUUACGGCCAGGGCUACACACGUGCUACAAUGGUGCAUACAGACGGUUGCCAAGCCGCGAGGUGGAGCUAAUCUGAGAAAGUGCAUCGUAGUCCGGAUUGGAGUCUGCAACUCGACUCCAUGAAGUCGGAAUCGCUAGUAAUCGUGAAUCAGAAUGUCACGGUGAAUACGUUCCCGGGCCUU